rnacentral:rRNA from 1 species
UCCCGAACUCGGUCGUGAAACGUUCCAGCGCCAAUGGUACUUCGUCUUAAGACGCGGGAGAGUAGGUCGCUGCCAGGU